CUUUCCUAUUUCACCAGAAAAAUUGCCAGUAUCUAUGACUCAACUACUUUUUCAACAUCUAUAACCCCAUUCUUCUCCAAAGUUGUUUACUACCAUAACCAUAAAUUAAUAAGACUCUUUCUCUGAUUUUCUUACCUUCUAUAUAUUUCUCAACCCCAAUAGAACACUUUUUACACCUUUUCUUCAUUCUAUGUUCUCCUCUUCUUUAUGUGAGAUUGAAAAUCCUCUUAGGCCACAACUUUGUUAAGAGAGGGUGAAUUGGUGAAGGUUUUGAAGGAAUUGUCAAGGCUUAUAUAUAUGUCAUGACAACUUGUUGACAGAAGAGAGAGAGCACAACUGAACAUACCCAAAAGACUUUUUGUGUGUGAGCAGUGUUGUACUCUCUGUUCUUCUGUCAACGUACUAGGUUUCUCACAAGCUAGCUAUGUAUAGUCCCUUAACUCCAUGAAAAUGUUCUGUUGAUUUUCUUGAACAUGCAUAUUUCUUAUGGAGUAAACCCUGGGGAAGCCCGUGGCGGGGAGCUACCACCAAUGAGCUAAGGCUACACCAACCGUAGCAAGUGGAUCCGACACCAUGUUUCAACCCAAAACUUAAGGCAUUGGGUUCAUGGGUCCUUUCACUUAUAUACUCUUCACUUAGCUCAUUACCAACCAAUGUGGGACUCAUCACACUUGUAUAUCUCAACAGUUAUAAGUUCAACUCAGU